rnacentral:rRNA from 1 species
UUUAUGGAGAGUUUGAUCCUGGCUCAGGAUGAACGCUGGCGGCGUGCCUAAUACAUGCAAGUCGAGCGAACAGACGAGGAGCUUGCUCCUUUGACGUUAGCGGCGGACGGGUGAGUAACACGUAGGUAACCUACCUAUAAGACUGGGAUAACUUCGGGAAACCGGAGCUAAUACCGGAUAAUAUUUCGAACCGCAUGGUUCGAUAGUGAAAGAUGGCUUUGCUAUCACUUAUAGAUGGACCUGCGCCGUAUUAGCUAGUUGGUAAGGUAACGGCUUACCAAGGCAACGAUACGUAGCCGACCUGAGAGGGUGAUCGGCCACACUGGAACUGAGACACGG